rnacentral:rRNA from 1 species
CCUACGGGAGGCUGCAGUGGGGAAUAUUGGACAAUGGGGGGAACCCUGAUCCAGCCAUGCCGCGUGUGUGAAGAAGGCCCUCGGGUUGUAAAGCACUUUCAGUGAGGAAGAACGCCUGGUGGUUAAUACCCAUCAGGAAAGACAUCACUCACAGAAGAAGCACCGGCUAACUCCGUGCCAGCAGCCGCGGUAAUACGUAGGGUGCGAGCGUUAAUCGGAAUUACUGGGCGUAAAGCGCGCGUAGGUGGCUUGAUAAGCCGGUUGUGAAAGCCCCGGGCUCAACCUGGGAACGGCAUCCGGAACUGUCAAGCUAGAGUGCAGGAGAGGAAGGUAGAAUUCCCGGUGUAGCGGUGAAAUGCGUAGAGAUCGGGAGGAAUACCAGUGGCGAAGGCGGCCUUCUGGACUGACACUGACACUGAGGUGCGAAAGCGUGGGUAGCAAACAGGAUUAGAUACCCUUGUAGUC